rnacentral:rRNA from 1 species
CGUCUUAUAGGGGUUCCUGGGGUUGAGCUUCGGCUAAGGUGUUGGGAUUGGUAACCGACGGCAGCGGCGGGAGCACGAGCUAGGUGUCAGGACGGCGGCCGGAGUGUGAGGUGGGGCAGCAGUUCGGCAGCACAGCCUCGAGCGUAAGGGAGCGGGGGCUCGAGGUGGGGCUGUAGGUGGGCAGGAACGUGAGGUGGGGAAGGGGGGCUCGAGGUAGAGCUCUGGCUCGGCGGCAGGAGCUCUAGGUGUAUGUUGGCGGCAGGAGCCCGCGGGGGAGCUGUAGGUCGGCAGCAGGAGCGGUUAGGGCGGGACGACGACGGCCCCGGGGUAAAGGCCCGAGGGCGGCAACGGCGUGGACGACAACAGCCCGGAGGUAGAGACCCGAGGGCGACGAUGGCCAGGACGACGUUAGCCUGGACGGCGACGACCCCUAGGUAGGGGAAGCUCGACCCGGGGAGAGCUUCGGUCGGCAGCGGUACGGGACUCACGGUAUGUCCACCUAUCAAGAAGUUGUUUACUAUAGACUUGAAGUUUGACAAACCUGAAUUAAAACGCUAACGACUUCCGUUCCUUUUCUCUAUCACGUCUUCCUCGAAGUCGUCCGUACUACCAAGCUGUUGGUGUUACAGCGUUCCGGUAGGGGUAACGGGCCGUUGUGAUAAAGUCUAUUUUAGUCUUAUAAUAAAAACCUAUUCGACCUUCCCUCCAGUAAUAGAUGUUGACGAAUGGUAGACGAUAAAAUAGUUUGAUUAUUUGUUACCAAGUUUACUGAUCACAACGAUCGGCCCUUGGUGCUGGUGGUCGUACGUUAUACUCGUUACCCAUCUCUUGCCUACCGAUGGAGCGACCCUUGGUACCAGCGCGUGCACGUCGUCUUUUGCUUACCACCUACCUUUCCGAUGCAGUGGCCCUUGGUCCUGGCGCUGAACAUCAUCCGUUGAUGAUCCGUGAAUCGGUUGACCACGUGUACCUGCACUACUGAAACGUCACAAAUACCUAGUUGGUUGGACAUUAGUACCUAGAAUACACAGAAGAUCUGUUAAACUACAAAGCUCAUAAAACCUCGAACGUGAGACACGUACACCUACGUAUGAACACACAAGACCUGGUAGAUCGACUUCAGAGAGCAUGGUCGUUUAUCACGAGUAGGAAAACACUGAACACACAAGACCCACUAACAAUUCUACCAGUUUGAUACGAAACAGUUCUAAACUACACAAACAGUUGAACGCAAGUUACAUAUACGUACAAACACUUGUAUAAAAGUAACAAUA